rnacentral:lncRNA from 1 species
UUAGAUAUUUAUUUAUCACACAUAUUACAAUCUCCAUCUAAUAAUGGAGAAGAAUGAUAUGCAUACAUUAUAGGCCUCUUAUUCGAUAUGAGCACGGUUCCACAUUUUCACCUUAGAAUUACAGCACUCACAGCAAACACCUCUAUUUGGUACACAACAAGCAGUGCAAGCACCACAUGGACCGCCAAUUAAAUCUACACAUUAGAGGAAAAGAUAUAUAAUUCAACAAAUUUAAAUAGAAUUUUUACAUUUAAAGUGCACAAUUGAAUUCAUAAUACAUCAUAAAAAGAUUUCAUUAAGUUUAACAUCUAUAUAUUAACAUGUUAAUAUCAUCAUUAAUUCUUAAGUAAAGUAAAUAAAGUGGGACAAUGCUUACUCCUUGAUGGAUCGCGUAUAGCAUCACAAGGUAAUGUAGGAGAGAGAACCAUAGCAAAGAUGAAAAUAGAGACCAAAGUAAACAUGAUAGAGUUUCUUGCCAUUGCUACAACUUGAAA